rnacentral:rRNA from 1 species
UACGUAGGGUGCGAGCGUUAAUCGGAAUUACUGGGCGUAAAGCGUGCGCAGGCGGCGCGUUAAGACAGGUGUGAAAGCCCCGAGCUUAACUUGGGAAUUGCGCUUGUGACUGGCGUGCUGGAGUGUGGCAGAGGGAGGUGGAAUUCCACGUGUAGCAGUGAAAUGCGUAGAUAUCGGCAGGGACCCCCAGGGGGAAACCAGCCGACUGGGCAAGUGCUGACGCUGAGGUGCGAGAGCGUGGGGAGCGAACCGG